AAAUACCCAUACAGGAUCCCGGUUGGACCCAGUAACGGAUGUUUCUUUGUCCUAAAACUGUCAUGCUUAUUGCUUUGUACUAGUACUUCUAUCAGUCUAAGUUAUGGAUA